UAGGAGCUUAGGCUCCCA
rnacentral:snRNA from 1 species